GUCCAUCGACGUUAAAUCCUGGACCGUCCGGUUGCAAAACGACGGCAUUUUGGAGCGUCGGUCCAAACGGCGGCUUAAGCUUUGAUAAACGGUACUCCUUUCCGUUAGCCUUAGGCAUAGUAACAGUUAACCUAUCCUUAAACUCCGUUACCUUCAUCACGUCAAGAUUAACGAGUAUCGUCAUUCCUUCAAUAGGUCUAAGAUACAUAUUAACGCUGCCGUCAAGAUAAAACGGCAACAUUCUAACAACUCUCUCUGUCUCGGCCUCACUCUCACCGUACCAUCCGAUCGUUGACGUCGUGAACACAAUCUCCGA
rnacentral:lncRNA from 1 species